rnacentral:rRNA from 1 species
AACGAACGCUGGCGGCAUGCCUAACACAUGCAAGUCGAACGAGACCUUCGGGUCUAGUGGCGCACGGGUGCGUAACGCGUGGGAACCUGCCCUUAGGUUCGGAAUAACUCCCCGAAAGGGGUGCUAAUACCGGAUAAUGUCUUCGGACCAAAGAUUUAUCGCCUUUGGAUGGGCCCGCGUUGGAUUAGCUAGUUGGUAGGGUAAAAGCCUACCAAGGCGACGAUCCAUAGCUGAUCUGAGAGGAUGAUCAGCCACACUGGGACUGAGACACGGCCCAGACUCCUACGGGAGGCAGCAGUGGGGAAUAUUGGACAAUGGGCGAAAGCCUGAUCCAGCAAUGCCGCGUGAGUGAAGAAGGCCUUAGGGUUGUAAAGCUCUUUUACCCGGGAUGAUAAUGACAGUACCGGGAGAAUAAGCUCCGGCUAACUCCGUG